rnacentral:rRNA from 1 species
CAUAUGCAAGUCGAGGGGCAGCACAGGUAGCAAUACCGGGUGGCGACCGGCGCACGGGUGAGUAACGCGUAUGCAACUUACCUAUCAGAGGGGGAUAACCCGGCGAAAGUCGGACUAAUACCGCAUGAAGCAGGGGCCCCGCAUGGGGAUAUUUGCUAAAGAUUCAUCGCUGAUAGAUAGGCAUGCGUUCCAUUAGGCAGUUGGCGGGGUAACGGCCCACCAAACCGACGAUGGAUAGGGGUUCUGAGAGGAAGGUCCCCCACAUUGGUACUGAGACACGGACCAAACUCCUACGGGAGGCAGCAGUGAGGAAUGUUGGUCAAUGGGCGUAAGCCUGAACCAGCCAAGUCGCGUGAGGGAUGAAGGUUCUAUGGAUCGUAAACCUCUUUUAUAAGGGAAUAAAGUGUGGGACGUGUCCUAUUUUGUAUGUACCUUAUGAAUAAGGAUCGGCUAACUCCGUGCCAGCAGCCGCGGUAAUACGGAGGAUCCGAGCGUUAUCCGGAUUUAUUGGGUUUAAAGGGUGCGUAGGCGGCCUUUUAAGUCAGCGGUGAAAGUCUGUGGCUCAACCAUAGAAUUGCCGUUGAAACUGGGGGGCUUGAGUAUGUUUGAGGCAGGCGGAAUGCGUGGUGUAGCGGUGAAAUGCUUAGAUAUCACGCAGAACCCCGAUUGCGAAGGCAGCCUGCCAAGC